rnacentral:rRNA from 1 species
UACGGGGGGGGCAAGCGUUGUUCGGAAUUACUGGGCGUAAAGGGCUCGUAGGCGGCCAACUAAGUCAGACGUGAAAUCCCCAGGCUCAACCUGGGAACUGCGUCUGAUACUGGAUGGCUUGGAUUUGGGAGAGGGAUGCGGAAUUCCAGGUGUAGCGGUGAAAUGCGUAGAUAUCUGGAGGAACACCGGUGGCGAAGGCGGCAUCCUGGACCAAUAUUGACGCUGAGGAGCGAAAGCCAGGGGAGCAAACGGG